AUCCGACCCGAACCGGGCUAUCCAAAUUGCUCCAGACCCUGAAAAUUGAACGAGGAACAAAAACAAAAGUUGCAGAGGCGAGGCGAGGCGAGGCGUGAGACUUUCUCAGAAGCGUUGAUGGCAUUGCCUUCUUAGGGAUUUCAAGGAUUCAAAUUCUUUGUAUUUUAGGUCGAUUUUUCCGAUUCCAAUCAUCGCGAAAUCAAAAUCUGAAAAUGGAGGACAUGGACAUUGAUUCAAUAGUAGACAUACCUGACACUCCUGAAAGAUUAUCUUCACAUCAAGUGAAUGGAGGGAAUUUUAUUGACAAAGAAAGCAGUCUAUCAGUAGCUGGUCAUGUGGGAGGUUCUAGUACCACAGGUGAAGAAUCUUUGGAUAGGCAAAGGGGCAGAGGUAGGCUGCUUCCCACAAAUGGGCACAAUAGGAAGCAUUAUGUAAACCCUCUGAAACUUUCUGGAAGUACUGAUGAAAUUGAGCGUCUGAAAAACACCAUUUUCUUAUCCCCACCAGAGUGCACUCGAGAAAAUGCUCCUUUAUUUAGGAAAACAGCAACGGCGAGAAGCCGAAAUUGCCUUCGAGAGCAAGAGAAGGAUAAAGGAAAGGCUCCUUGCUCUAAGUUACCUUCUAAAUCAUCUGGAUUCCAAGAAGAUCACACCUUUCUAGAUUUAACUGAACAGAGAAUGCACAAUCAAAUACCUGAAAUGGAAUUUCUACAAAGUGCGUCAGAAAACUGCUUAACUGAAGGAAGAACAGAAGGUCAGAUGCCAACAAAUGGUGGUUCUUAUGCAUCCAGAACUAGGUGCAAGGGAAAGGAAAAAGUUGAAGUUGAACUUAGAAGUAUAGGUUCAGAUAUGAGUAAUGGAAAAGGGGUGGAUCUUUCUCAUGGUUCCCCACUUAGAAUAGAAAAGCAAUUUCCUGCAUCUCAUCAGUCUGUUGUCUCACCAAGAGCAGUUGGGAAAAGAAGAUUGGUCCGAAAUGGCUGCAUCUCCCCCCAUAAUAUAGCCAUCAGGGCUAAACAAAACGAACAAUCGCAAAGCAACUUUAGAGCUGAGCAAAAUUUUGACAAUGUGGUUAGCAGCAGUCCUUGUAUGCUUAGCGAGAUCGUUACUGAAGAUAAUAAUAGUGGUAAAGGAAAAAGAGUUGCCCAUCCUCACACACCUAAGGAGCAUGAUAUCAAUGUUAUUAAUUUGUCUAGCAGCCCUAUGAGUAAUAAUGGAGAAGCUAGUGGUUUUGGUGAUGUGAAUAGAGAUGCAUGUUUUGAAGAAAAAGGUGGAUGGAGAAGCACUCACAACUUUUCAAAGAAUGUAGACGAUACAACUGGACAUCAUUUACGUAGGUUUAAUAAUGUUGGAUGUCAAGCGAGUCAACGAAAUGAUAAUGGAGUUGUGAAAAGAAAUAAUGCUAGUAGAGGAAAGACCAUGAUUCAAUGUGAUUCUCCUCAAAUUUUUUGCGCAACUGAGACAGCUCCUGUGAUCUCAAACAUCGACCAAAUAAGUGAAUCUUCUCGUGCAAACAUGCUGCCUAAAAGGCAAACAAAACAUGGAUUAACCUCAAGAAAUAAUGGUGAAAGCUCUAGGGUCAGUCGUAAUGAUUCAGACAUUGUGUUUCUUGGUUCAUCUAGGGUAUCAUCUAGUUCAAGGUCAUCUAAUUUUCAUAUUGCGGAACACCUGGAUGUUUUGGAUCUUGACAACUCACCUGAAUUGAGAGGGAUAAAUGCCAAUAAUACGGACUCUGUGAAUGAUGAGGAUGCAGAGGCUAAGGCUAGACAACUUGAAGCUGAUGAAAAGCUGGCCCGGGAACUCCAAGAACAAUUAUAUCAUGAGAUUGAUGAAAACAUUGCAUGGACACUUCAGCAGGAGGAAGAUGCACUCCAUCCUACUUUUCGGACUCUCCAUGAGCCAGAUCAUAGAGUCUCAACAAGGCAGUCUCGUAUGCAGCCUCCAUUGCGGAACUUUCAGAAUUCUUCAAAUAGGAGAGGAGUGCAGACUCAUUUCCCUACUUCUGCUAGAGUUUCAAGGUUAAGGAAUCGAAUAUUGAAUCAACCUCGAAUGGCACCAUCUAGGACAAGGAAUUUUCAAUUUCCUUUAGACAUGGACUUAGAUAUGAGACUUGAUAUACUGGAAGCCAUGGAGGCUGCAAUUGGAGAUUCUGAUGACAUGGGAAUGGCUAGUCACAUAUUCCAAAUUCAGCGUGAUUUUAAUGAAAAUGAUUACGAAAUGCUAUUGGCCCUUGAUGAUAACAAUCAUCAGCACGGUGGUGCAUCUAUUAAUCAGAUUAACAGUUUGCCACUUUCCAAAGUACAGACAGAUAAUUUCGAAGAAGCUUGUGCCAUAUGCCUUGAAACCCCUGCCAUUGGAGAAACCAUUCGCCAUCUUCCUUGUCUACAUAAAUUUCACAAGGAUUGUAUCGAUCCAUGGCUGAGCAGGAAAACAUCAUGCCCGGUUUGCAAAUCAUCUAUCACUUGAACAGGAGUGUUCCAGCACUAUAUGGAUGAAUGUAAAAAAUAUUAAACGGAUAUUCAUCAGAGACAGGGAAAGGAUCGGUAUGCUUGAUGAGCGAAUAAACUCGGAACCACAUUCAGAGCAGAGAUGGCUUUUGAAGUGCUAAUGGAGGAUCAUAAUCUUUCAGUGUAAGCUAGUGUGUAGAAAGUAACAACAUGCCAUACAAUGCAAUUCAAUGUUUUAUGUCAGUUAUUUUUGUUGAAAGCAACUAUUUUUGGGUACAAGUAUGGAAGGGGCCCCUCUUCAAUACCAAGAAGUUCAUUUUAGUCCUCUACAUUUUGGAAAGCAACAUUUUAAUCCCUGUACCUUUGGUUUAUAGCAAAAAGGUAAAGAAAAUGCUAGUUGUGCUUUUAAGUGCCGACUUGUUUUUAUUUUAUAUUUUUAAAUAUGACAUGGAUUUAUGAGUAUAGAUUGAGGUGGAAAAUAAAAAAUGAUGUGGAAUUUAGUGAAA